GCCAAAACUAGAAUCUCAGUCUGGUACAGAAAAUGUCCUGGUGAACCAGAUUCUCUGAGAGAAUCUGCUGUUCCUGGUACACUGGUAGGGGCACCCAGCGUCCCGUUAGUGUCCAGGGCAGAAAAGUCC
ensembl:snoRNA Gm22276 predicted gene, 22276